GACGAACGCUGGCGGCACGCCUAAUACAUGCAAGUCGAGCGGGUGAAGCUUGCGGAAGCCUUCGGGUGGACGCAAGUGGAACCAGCGGCGGACGGGUGAGUAACACGUAGGCAACCUGCCUGUAAGACCGGGAUAACUCCGGGAAACCGGGGCUAAUACCGGAUAGGCUCUCAUGUCGCAUGGCGUGGGAGUUAAAGAUGGCUUUUAGCUAUCGCUUACAGAUGGGCCUGCGGCGCAUUAGCUAGUUGGUGAGGUAACGGCUCACCAAGGCGACGAUGCGUAGCCGGCCUGAGAGGGUGGUCGGCCACACUGGGACUGAGACACGGCCCAGACUCCUACGGGAGGCAGCAGUAGGGAAUCUUCCGCAAUGGGCGCAAGCCUGACGGAGCGAUGCCGCGUGAGCGAGGAAGGCCUUCGGGUCGUAAAGCUCUGUUGUCAGGGAAGAACGGCUUGCGUGUGAACAAUGCGCAAGUAUGACGGUACCUGACGAGGAAGCCCCGGCUAACUAC
rnacentral:rRNA from 1 species